rnacentral:rRNA from 1 species
UACGUAGGGUGCAAGCGUUAAUCGGAAUUACUGGGCGUAAAGCGUGCGCAGGCGGUGAUGUAAGACAGUUGUGAAAUCCCCGGGCUCAACCUGGGAACUGCAUCUGUGACUGCAUUGCUGGAGUGCGGCAGAGGGGGAUGGAAUUCCGCGUGUAGCAGUGAAAUGCGUAGAUAUGCGGAGGAACACCGAUGGCGAAGGCAAUCCCCUGGGCCAAUACUGACGCUCAUGCACGAAAGCGUGGGGAGCAAACAGG